rnacentral:lncRNA from 1 species
UUUUUUAUGAUUUUGAGGUGAGACGAAGUGCAUUGGAAAUUUUAAUAUGUCUACUUCAAAUGUUAUGUUGGAAAAAAAUUCAUAAUCCUAAAAUAAACCCAUGUGAUAAUACAAAACAUUAUAGGUGACUUUGGACCAAUGUAAUACCCCAAAAUUUACCCUUCAUUUUUCCUGGAAGCAUACGCUUUACACCUCAUGCAUGCAUUCAUUUUUAGGUCAUUU